rnacentral:piRNA from 1 species
UAACAGUUGUCACUGUGGUCCAUUUGAAA